AGGUUGUGAAAAAUGCUCUAAACACAUGGGCAAAGAUUUCUUUGUGAGACUCUGAUUUGUGUUCUUUGGGGAUAUAUACACAGAUGUCAUAUUGCUAGGCUAUAAUGUACCUCUUUGUAAUUUUUGUAUAAAAAAUCCAUAGUAUAUUUUAAAUUAGAGCCUCUAUGUUACAUUCCCAGUAGCUACAGAUAAAAAGAAUUUUUUUUUAUAAACACCAAAACUCCCAUGUUAUUUCAUGAUAACAAUCCUGACAACAUUAAGGUGCUAGGUCCUUGUGUUUAGCAGAUAAUAAGCCAUGAUCAAUAUUUUAGUCAUUAUCUUUUUUGUGGAGAAAUAUCUACUCAAGAUUCCCCGUGUUUAGAAGCUUUUAAUUUCCAUGCUUUAUAGUUUUAGAAGUUUGCUGUAAAUUUUGGAAAUUGGCCACAUAUUAAGUAUAUAAUUUAUAAACACAUUCUAGCAUUUUGAAAAUAUUUUCAUUUUGCUGAUUAUUUCCAUGCCUGCUAGAUACAUUUUAGUGGGACAUAAUUUUAAACCUUUAUUUUAAUUAUCUAUUCUUUCAGUGGGGCAUUCAAGAAGUAGUUCUAAGAGCAAGAAUGUUUGUGGUUUUCUUCUGGAAUAUUUAGAAUUUUAUAUUUUAUGUUUCUUCUUAUUAUUAUUUAUUUAUGCUUUCUGUUUUUACACUCCAGAUUUUAACCCCCCCCUCCAGUCCACCUUCCAACUGUUCAACAUCCCUUACCUCCUACCAGCCCUCCUAUCUCCAUGAGGAUGUCCCCACCCACCCCCACCCUACCAGACCUCUAAUCUUCCUGGGGCCUCCAGUUUCUAGAGGGUUAGGUGCAUCUCCUCUAACUGAAUCAGACCUGGCCGUCCUCUGCUAUAUAUGUGUUGGAGGCCUCCUAUCAGCUGGUGUAUGAUACCUGGUUGGUGUUCUAGUGUCUGAGAGAUCUCAGGGUUCCAGAUUAAUUGAGACUGUGGGUCCUCCUACAGGUUCACCCUCCGCCUCAGCUUCUUCCAGCAUUUCCCUAAUUUAAUCACAAGGUUCAGCAGCUUGUGUCCAUUGUUUGGGUGCAAAUAUCUGCAUUUGACUCUGUCAGCUGUUGUUGCCUCUUUCUGAGGGCAGUCAUGAUAGGUCACUUUUUGUCAGUGUUCCAUAGCCUCAGUAAUAGUGUUAGGCCUUGGGCCUCCCCUUUAGCUGUAUCCCACUUUGGGCCUGUCUCUGGAGCUUGUUUUCCUCAGGCUUUUCUCCAUUUCCACCCCUGCAGUUCUUUCAGACAGGAAUAAUUUUGGGUCAGAAAUGUGUUUGUGGGAUGGCAACCCCAUCCCUCACUCGAUGCCUUGUCUUUCUCCUAGAGAUGGGCUCUACUCUCUCCCCACUAUAGGGCAUUUCAUCUAGGGUCCCUCCAUUUGAGUCCUGAGAGAUCUCCAAAGGCUCAUGGAUUGGCAGAAUUAACCUUGUAAAAUUAGCCAUCCUACCAAAGUCAAUCUACAGAUUUAAUGCAAUCCCCAUCAAAUCUUGUUUCUUUUGAAUCUAUUUUAAAGUAAUCUUUUGUGAUAUAAGAUAAUAGUCUAAUUUUAUUCUUCUGGAUUCUGAUAUCUAGUCUUCCUAAAACCAUUUGAACACAUUUUCCUUUUCUAGGGUAUAUUCUUGGCACCCCUUCUGCAGAUCUGUUGCUUGCAUAUGUUCAGCUUAACUUCUGAGCUUUCUGUUUUCUUCCACUGGUCUCUGUACCUGCCUUAUGUCCUUAUUGUGUUAUCCUGAUUGCUGUAGGAAGUGUGAAGUCUCAGAUUUGUUAAAAGUAGUUCUACCAAUUUGUGUAUUUUUUAUGAUUCCAUAUGAAUUUCAGAAUUGUUUAUUUCUCUUUUUUUAAAAGCACUUUUAAGAUUAUGAUAAAGAAGUCACAGAAUAUAUAGUGUCAGUUUUAGUGCCAUGGGCAUUUAUACACCAUUAAGUCCUUUAACUUAUGAUUAUAAAAGGUUAUCUGUUUGUUUCUUACUUAUUUAUCAGGCUUUGCUGCUUUUGUUGUUGUUGUUGUUGUUUUAAGAAAUGGUCUUCUUAAUAAGUGUUUUUUCUAUAUUUUCCUGUUUUUUGUGUUAUUAAAAAUGGGAUUAUUUCUUCGUUUUAUGUUUGAAUAGGUCAUUGAUUAAAAAAAAAACUCAUUUCAUGAUAGUGAUCAUGAUAACCAAUCUUACUUUUCACAAGAGAGGCAGAAAUUUCAACUGAGAAACUGUUUCUGUCUGAUUGGCCUAUAUAAGCAUGUCUGUAGACCAUUGCUUGGAUUGAUGGUGUAUAUGAGAGAGCUCAGUACACUGCUAGUGAUGCAACACCUGCAUGCGGAGUUUGAGUUGUAUGACUAAACUGGCUGAGUGUGAGCAGGGGAAGCAAGCCAGGAGCCACCCAUCUUCCAUGGUCUUUUGUCAAUUGUUGCCUCCACAUCCCUGCGUGUGUGCUUACCUUGACUUCUCUCAAUAACUAUACUACAAGAC
rnacentral:lncRNA from 1 species